UGGGGAAUAUUGGACAAUGGGCGAAAGCCUGAUCCAGCAAUGCCGCGUGAGUGAUGAAGGCCUUAGGGUUGUAAAGCUCUUUUACCAGGGAUGAUAAUGACAGUACCUGGAGAAUAAGCUCCGGCUAACUCCGUGCCAGCAGCCGCGGUAAUACGGAGGGAGCUAGCGUUGUUCGGAAUUACUGGGCGUAAAGCGCGCGUAGGCGGCCUAUCAAGUCAGGGGUGAAAUCCCGGGGCUCAACCCCGGAACUGCCCUUGAAACUGGUAAGCUAGAAUCCUGGAGAGGCGAGUGGAAUUCCGAGUGUAGAGGUGAAAUUCGUAGAUAUUCGGAAGAACACCAGUGGCGAAGGCGACUCGCUGGACAGGUAUUGACGCUGAGGUGCGAAAGCGUGGGGAGCAAACAGGAUUAGAUACCCCCGUAGUCC
rnacentral:rRNA from 1 species